ensembl:lncRNA
GUUUCGGACAGGUAAUGGCGGACAUGCGAUAGUUCGGGCUGACUUAUAUUCCAACAUAGGAAGUGUUAUAAACAGCUGAUCGGAUCGGCAAAGCCUGUUUCUGGAAUAUUGUGUUUUUGUUGCUGCAAGUCUGGAAUAUUAUGUUUUUGUUGCUGGAAGUGCUUUUUAUGCAAUUUUUUGCAAAGCUAUAUGUGGAAGAAAACCGUGACCUAGGGCAAGCUAAUGGAAUAAGAUUUCAUCCUCCAGAUUCCCGCUGCUCUUAACACUCGAAGUCAGCAAUUGCCUCAAGGAGCCGAAUCCGGUACCUUUGUCUGGAAACUCCCUUGACACUUCAAUCAGGCAGAGAGGCAGGGCAGACGCUUGGAAUUUUAAUCAAAAAGAGAAUAAUGAAUUUGUAGAAUUUGAAAAUGUGCCUCUCAAACAAAAUGCUCCCAACCCUCUUUGAUAUGGAAAAGCUACCA